rnacentral:lncRNA from 1 species
UUUGACUGAUGAUUACAAAUCAUUGUGUCAAAACCUGAGAGCAAGAAAUUACAUUUUGGAUGAGCUUAAUAUUACGGCUUCGAGGGUUUGAGUUGUUAGAAGCAGCUUCAAAAUUUGGUGCAGAUGGCAAAGAAGGAACAUGAUGAGGUGGACUCUAAUCUCUUCUCUCGACUCCAAUCUUGCUUUUAUUGGGAGGAAUUUUCUUAGUUGGUAAUUUCUUUAUACUUUUCUCUCCAAGUACUUGUUGGCAAAGGACUGGUCAUUAAUUUGCCAUGACAUAAUACCUAUGUAUUACAAUUAGGUGUUUUAUUAAAGAUUAAAAAUCAAUCAAACUUCCCUUUUUGUAUUGGGGAUGUCUCUAUCUGUUCUUCACAACCUGUUAUUCCCUCAUUAAAUAGUCAAAAGCUAGGGCUUAAAAAAAAGUAUACAUGAAUAUACACAUCUAGAAUAAUUAUUGUACAAACCUCAGUCAAGUGGCAACAUCACUGAUCUAUAGCAGUAACAAGAGGAUAUAAAGGUAAGCUUUCACCACCACUGCAUGUACUCAUAUUAGUCACUGAGCAAGUGAAACGAAAAAAGCAUAAAAUGAAAUCCAAUACAGUAUCUGGUUUGAAAAGGAUAUGCGGUUAUGUUGGUAAGUUUCUAUAGAAGUAGGAUAACCCCACAUUUGGUCUACAUUCCUCAGUGGAUGAGUUUGUAUAGUUGAUCUUUGCACAAACAUUUGAUUUGUACAAAUUAGUUCCUAUUUAGGUUUCCGGGAACAACUUUGAGUUGUUUCUUGCUGCUGUGGUGACUUUGGU